GACGAACGCUGGCGGCGUGCCUAAUACAUGCAAGUUGAGCGAUGAAGAUUGGUGCUUGCACCAAUUUGAAGAGCAGCGAACGGGUGAGUAACGCGUGGGGAAUCUGCCUUUGAGCGGGGGACAACAUUUGGAAACGAAUGCUAAUACCGCAUAACAACUUUAAACAUAAGUUUUAAGUUUGAAAGAUGCAAUUGCAUCACUCAAAGAUGAUCCCGCGUUGUAUUAGCUAGUUGGUGAGGUAAAGGCUCUCCAAGGCGAUGAUACAUAGCCGACCUGAGAGGGUGAUCGGCCACAUUGGGACUGAGACACGGCCCAAACUCCUACGGGAGGCAGCAGUAGGGAAUCUUCGGCAACGGACGAAAGUCUGACCGAGCAACGCCGCGUGAGUGAAGAAGGUUUUCGGAUCGUAAAACUCUGUUGGUAGAGAAGAACGUUGGUGAGAGUGGAAAGCUCAUCAAGUGACGGUAACUACCCAGAAAGGGACGGCUAACUACGUG
rnacentral:rRNA from 1 species